rnacentral:rRNA from 1 species
AGAGAGUAACACUUAAUUAAAAUCUAUUUAUUACGGCGGCAUUUAAUCUAAUUAGAGGAACUUGUUAAAUAAUCGAUAAUCCACGAUAAAUUUUACUUAAAUUAAAAAUUUAUAUACCGCCAUCUACAAGAAUUUUUUAAAAUAUAUUAUUCACAAUAAUAACUAAAAAGUUAGGUCAAGGUGUAGUAAACAUUUAAGAACAUAAUGAGUUACUAUAAAUAAAAUUUAUGGAAAAAAUUUUAAUAAAUUUAUUAAAAAGGAUUUAACAAUAAUAUUAUAAUAAUAUUUUAUAAUGAAUAAGAUUAUAAAUGUGU